rnacentral:tRNA from 6 species
AGGGGUAUAGCUCAGUUGGUAGAGCAACGGAUUCCAAAUCCGUAGGCCGCGGGUUCGAAUCCUGCUGCCCCUGCCA